AGUGAACGCUGGCGGUAGGCCUAACACAUGCAAGUCGAACGGCAGCACAGUAAGAGCUUGCUCUUACGGGUGGCGAGUGGCGGACGGGUGAGGAAUACAUCGGAAUCUACUUUUUCGUGGGGGAUAACGUAGGGAAACUUACGCUAAUACCGCAUACGACCUACGGGUGAAAGCAGGGGAUCUUCGGACCUUGCGCGAUUGAAUGAGCCGAUGUCGGAUUAGCUAGUUGGCGGGGUAAAGGCCCACCAAGGCGACGAUCCGUAGCUGGUCUGAGAGGAUGAUCAGCCACACUGGAACUGAGACACGGUCCAGACUCCUACGGGAGGCAGCAGUGGGGAAUACUGGACAAUGGGCGCAAGCCUGAUCCAGCCAUACCGCGUGGGUGAAGAAGGCCUUCGGGUUGUAAAGCCCUUUUGUUGGGAAAGAAAAGCAGCAGGUUAAUACCCCGCUGUUCCGACGGUACCCAAAGAAUAAGCACCGGCUAACUUCGUG
rnacentral:rRNA from 1 species